rnacentral:rRNA from 1 species
GAUGAACGCUAGCGGCAGGCUUAAUACAUGCAAGUCGAGGGGCAGCGCGGGUAGCAAUACCUGGCGGCGACCGGCAAACGGGUGCGGAACACGUACGCAACCUUCCCAAAACUGGGGAAUAGCCCUCCGAAAGGAGGAUUAAUACCCCGUAACAUAACGAAGUGGCAUCACUUUGUUAUUAUAGUUCCGACGGUUUUGGAUGGGCGUGCGCCUGAUUAGGUAGUUGGCGGGGUAACGGCCCACCAAGCCUGCGAUCAGUAACUGGUGUGAGAGCACGACCAGUCACACGGGCACUGAGACACGGGCCCGACUCCUACGGGAGGCAGCAGUAAGGAAUAUUGGUCAAUGGACGCAAGUCUGAACCAGCCAUGCCGCGUGAAGGAUGAAGGUCCUCUGGAUUGUAAACUUCUUUUAUAUGGGACGAAAAAAGGGCAUUCUUGCUCACUUGACGGUACCAUAGGAAUAAGCACCGGCUAACUCCGUGCCAGCAGCCGCGGU